AGGAUGAACGCUAGCGACAGGCUAACACAUGCAAGUCGAGGGGUAACAGGGUAGCAAUACCGCUGACGACCGGCGCACGGGUGAGUAACGCGUAUGCAACCUGCCUAUAACUGUGGAAUAGCUCCCUGAAAGGGGAAUUAACACCGCAUAACACUAUUGAUUCGCAUGGAUUGGUAGUUAAAUGUAGCGAUACAGGUUAUAGAUGGGCAUGCGUGACAUUAGCUAGUUGGUGAGGUAACGGCUCACCAAGGCUACGAUGUCUAGGGGUUCUGAGAGGAAGGUCCCCCACACUGGUACUGAGACACGGACCAGACUCCUACGGGAGGCAGCAGUGAGGAAUAUUGGUCAAUGGGCGCAAGCCUGAACCAGCCAUGUCGCGUGCAGGAAGACUGCCCUAUGGGUUGUAAACUGCUUUUAUAGUAGAAGAAACACAUCUACGUGUAGAUGUCUGCCAGUAUACUAUGAAUAAGCAUCGGCUAACUCCGUGCCAGCAGCCGC
rnacentral:rRNA from 1 species